rnacentral:misc_RNA from 1 species
AACGCAUAUUGCACUUUCUGGCUCGCUGGGAAGUAUGUCUGUUUGAGUAUCAUUUCACUCUCAUUAAAACAACUAGUUUUGUGGUUUUAGUGGAUUUGAGUCUUUUAUAUCGCAAGAUACAAGACUUUAAAUGUCGAGUCCUAUAUGGUAUUUAUGAACCUUUUGUUUGACACUUUUGUGUUUGACAUUCUGUUUAUGAACAUCUUUGUUAACUCUUUUCACACUAUAUAUAAUGAACAGUCGUUCUGCAUAAACAGUAUGAUUUGGGGAAGAUGGGAGUGAGCAUUAUGAAGAACAUGAUAGCUGUUGAGCAAACUUGUGAAUACUUGGACAUCAAGGUUAACGAAGAGUUUCAAAGGUCAAACUUUGGGAUGAUUCAACAUUUUAACUCUUGAUCUCAAAUCAGACAAGGUUACCCGCUGAACUUAA